AAAGCACUGUAUUUUUACGUUGCUGAGGGUGGUUGCCAAGGGUGCUGCGCAGUGAUGCACAGAAUCGUUGGUUGUCCAAUUGGAAUCAAGGACUGCCACUAACACUUUUAAUUAUAAUAAAUAUAAUACACAUAAUAAUACAUUUUAUUAGUCAUGUUAGUCAUGACAUUUCAAGGUCUGUUAAUCGCUGAUAAAACUGAUGCCACACCGCUCAUUCGGGUACUGCGAGUCAUCUUGAACGGCUAUUACCUGGUGUGCACACUUUGGACAGCUUACUCAACAGUGCAUUAACUUUCUCAUCAGACCAGUCAUGGAGAAUCCUUGCAAGAAUGUACAAGUCUGCUUUAGAGUUCAUGUGCAUGUUGGGCAGCCAGACUCUGAUGACCUGAUUACACAGCACCGCAGACCUAUGGUCUGCAAAGCAACUUCAAAACCAAAACCGACAAUUUGUGGGACAGAAACCUUGUAAGUUAAUGGGUUAAAGGUGAGUUUGACCAGGUUAUCGUUGCCUUCUGAAGAAUAGCAGGCAAGACUCUCUGUAGGAUCAAUGGUUGCAUUUUAACGUAUAUUACUUUUGCUAGUCCAGUUAAACAGCUAACGUUAGAUAUGCAUGUAAAACCCUGGUAUGAUAAAGAACGGAAUUUACCAUAAUACAGUCAUAAGUGGCAUUAUUUGCCUCUUUAAAACAGAAUGUCACAAACUACAUGUAGUGUUUAUUUGUCUUGUGUUUCGUUCAUUUACCUGGAAACUCAGCAGCACUUUUCGCUUCCGACAACCAUGCACGCACUGACAGAGAUCCCGGAGAGGCGGCGUCUAUUUUCGCACAUGCGCAGUAAGCAAAGGACAACGUCACGAUCUACUGCGAUUUAUCCAAUGGAUUUACCACAGGUAAUGUUUUAUGAAGAAUUUAUUCUGUUAAACAUGUUUUGGAAAUUUUUAAACUUAAUAUUUUAUAUAAUAAUUUUGUAAACAGGAAAAUAAUUUUGCAUCUAGAUGUGGAAAUUUAUAUAAGUAGAAAAUUGGGUCGUGUGGUAGAAAUUGGUGUAUUUGACGUGUUUUAUAUUUUGUGAGAGAUGAUUUGGAAAGUAAUGAACAAUAUAUAAUAUAGUUAUUUAUUGUAUUUACACAGUACCAUGCACACAAAACAAAAUUCCCUUUGUAAAUCUAAUCUGUGACAUUUUAUGAAUGAUUUCAAAUUAUACAGUAGUACCCCUUUGGGAAAAAAAAUCCCAGAAAACAUGUCAUAUUUUAAAAGUACUCAAUUUUUUGUACUCUUCUUUUCUUCUCUUGAAACAUAUAUAAUUAAUACAUUUUGUUUAUUGCAAUAUAUGUUUUAUGCAAUUGAUUUCCAGAGAUAGCUAAUUGUUUUGGCCCCAAAAAUUUUUUUCAAAACUUGAUUGACGUUUAGUUGUUAAUUCAAUACAAUGAACAGUAUUACUUUACAGUGGAAUCAUAUUUAUCACAAAAACAGGUACUCACGUAUAUUUGAUCAAGUUUGUUACUUUAAUCGAUAAACUUUCACACAGUUUAGAAAUUAUGCAAUAUGUUUUGAAGGACCAUAUAUAUUGAAUCAUGUGACUUCUUGUGGUGUUUUUGCAUUGUUAUUUUAUUAUAUAGCCUAACCAACAACAGUUAUACUCUACGUUCAUAACUGUCUAUGGUAGCCAAGCAACGAAACAUCUUACAAUUUUCAUAUCACACCUUAUAGUAAAAACAAAUACCACACUUUUGCAACUAGCUAUUUCCUUUGUGUGGGUAUUUUGCUUGAUAGAGCAUUCAUUUGCUGUUCACUUUACAUCGGAAAAUUGCUUCAGGUGGCAUACAAUAUUGUUAUAAAUGAUGAUGAUGUCUAAGAAGCUUUUGAUAUUACUAGUUGGCAGAAUCAGUUUGUCCACUACAACAUGCAGUAAAAAGGAACUGAAAGAAAACUUGACCUGGCCCUGACAUUGCUAGUUAGAGCAAGUUGAUACAGUUUUACUUUAUAAUAUAAGUAGUGGCAACGAUUAAUCACAUACAAAAUAAAGUGAGUUUUUGCAUAAUAUAUGAGUGUGUGCUGUGUGUAAUUAUAUAAAUAGCCUAAACACACAUUCGUGUAUGUAUUUAAGAAACAUUAACGUGUGUAUAUAUGUUUAAUUAUAUAUUUUUAAAAAAUUUAAUAUAUGAUAUAUAUAAAAAAAUCUGAAAUGUAUUUGUUAAAUGUAUGAUUUUUUUUUCCGAGAUUAAUCGUUGCCCACUGUAACAUUUGUGCACAAUAAAGGGAUAUAAAUGUAUUUAUCAAAUAAAAAAACAAGAUAAAUGCACAUGUGACUUUAUAUUAGAAACACUCUAAAAACAAACAGUG